GUGUCAGCAGCCGCGGUAAUACGUAGGGGGCGAGCGUUGUCCGGAAUUAUUGGGCGUAAAGGGUACGCAGGCGGCCAUGUAAGUCAGAUGUGAAAGAUCACGGCUCAACCGUGGUAAGCAUUUGAAACUGCUUGGCUUGAGUUAAGGAGAGGAAAGUGGAAUUCCUAGUGUAGCGGUGAAAUGCGUAGAUAUUAGGAAGAAUAUCAGUGGCGAAGGCGACUUUCUGGACUUAUACUGACGCUGAGGUACGAAAGCGUGGGGAGCAAACAGGAUUAGAUACCCUGGUAGUCCACGCUGUAAACGAUGAGUGCUAGGUGUCGGGGGUCAUACCUCGGUGCCGGAGUUAACACAUUAAGCACUCCGCCUGGGGAGUACGUGCGCAAGCAUGAA
rnacentral:rRNA from 1 species